GUGAAAUCUUCUCUCACUAGACGUUUUUGGUUGUGCAUGUUGUCUGUCCACAUGAACAUUGUGAUCCAGUGCAGCAAGCAAACAGCGAGCUUUGAAUGCAUCAAACCUGUCAUCAACAAAUGAGGAAACAUUGCCACGGGGCAUACUUCAAGAUUACACUGUGGUAGUUCUCUAAUGCACCUGUAUGCCUAGAAUCAAACAUGCAUCAUGACCAUUGGACUAGAAUGAAUCUCAAAACAAUCUUCCUGAGAAAUUUCAUUGCUUGAGAAUCUACUCCGA